rnacentral:rRNA from 1 species
GGACCAAGGAGUUUAGCGUAUGCGCGAGUCAUUGGGUGUUAAACCUAAAGGCGUAAUGAAAGUGAAUGCGAACUUGAUUCGUUGACAUGCGAUCCGGCGCAUCUCGGUGCGCCGGCGCAGCAUGGCCCCGUUCCUGUCGCAUGCGAUGGGGCGGAGGUAGAGCGUAUGCGCUGAGACCCGAAAGAUGGUGAACUAUGCCUGAGCAGGACGAAGCCAGAGGAAACUCUGGUGGAAGUCCGAAGCGGUUCUGACGUGCAAAUCGAUCGUCUGACUUGGGUAUAGGGGCGAAAGACUAAUCGAACCAUCUAGUAGCUGGUUCUCUCUGAAGUUUCCCCCAGGAUAGCUGGAGCGGGGAUUAUAUAGUUAUACUCGGUAAAGCGAACGAUUAGAGGAUUUGGGGACGAUAUGUUCUUAACCUAUUCUCAAACUCUAAAUGAGUAUGAAAUUCGAGUUAUCUUGAUUAGUAAACUCGUAUGUUGAAUAAAGCGCUCCAAGUGGGCCAUUUUUGGUAAGCAGAACUGGCGAUGUGGGAUGAACCGAAAGCGGCUUUAAGGUGCCUAAGUUUCCGCUCAUUAGACCCCAUAAAAGGUGUUGGUUGAUUAUGACAGCAGGUCGGUGGCCAUGGAAGUUGGA